UACAGAGGUCUCAAGCGUUGUUCGGAUUCAUUGGGCGUAAAGGGUGCGUAGGUGGCAUGGUCAGUCGGAUGUGAAAUCCCGGGGCUCAACCCCGGAACUGCAUUCGAUACUGCCGCGCUAGAGUACUGGAGAGGAGAUUGGAAUUUACGGUGUAGCAGUGAAAUGCGUAGAUAUCGUAAGGAAGACCAGCGGCGAAGGCGGAUCUCUGGACAGUUACUGACACUGAGGCACGAAGGCCAGGGGAGCAAACGGG
rnacentral:rRNA from 1 species